AAACGGAAUUACCAGAAAUUAGGAGCAGAUUGCUGUGAAGGUCAUCUCUGUAAUGGAUAUACGCCAAUGAAAAUAGAUUCCCCAUCAAUGGUGUCUACUAUAUACAAAUGUCCGCUAAGAGGAACCAAUCAAAUUCCGAUUGAUACAGGAGGCUACAACUCAAUUCUGGAAUGGCAGGAAGAUUGGUGAUUUGUCAUUUUGCAAUUAAAUAUGGAAGAGUAUAAUUGCAAUAAAACCAAACAUACUAAAA